rnacentral:rRNA from 1 species
UGGGGAAUAUUGCACAAUGGGCGCAAGCCUGAUGCAGCCAUGCCGCGUGUAUGAAGAAGGCCUUCGGGUUGUAAAGUACUUUCAGUCGGGAGGAAGGUGGUAAGGUUAAUAACCUUAUCAAUUGACGUUACCGACAGAAGAAGCACCGGCUAACUCCGUGCCAGCAGCCGCGGUAAUACGGAGGGUGCAAGCGUUAAUCGGAAUUACCGGGCGUAAAGCGCACGCAGGCGGUUGAUUGAGUCAGAUGUGAAAUCCCCGGGCUUAACCCGGGAAUUGCAUCUGAUACUGGUCAGCUAGAGUCUUGUAGAGGGGGGUAGAAUUCCAUGUGUAGCGGUGAAAUGCGUAGAGAUGUGGAGGAAUACCGGUGGCGAAGGCGGCCCCCUGGACAAAGACUGACGCUCAGGUGCGAAAGCGUGGGGAGCAAACAGG